GAUGAACGCUGGCGGCGUGCCUAAUACAUGCAAGUCGAGCAAACAGAUAAGGAGCUUGCUCCUUUGACGUUAGCGGCGGACGGGUGAGUAACACGUGGGUAACCUACCUAUAAGACUGGAAUAACUCCGGGAAACCGGGGCUAAUGCCGGAUAACAUUUAGAACCGCAUGGUUCUAAAGUGAAAGAUGGUUUUGCUAUCACUUAUAGAUGGACCCGCGCCGUAUUAGCUAGUUGGUAAGGUAACGGCUUACCAAGGCAACGAUACGUAGCCGACCUGAGAGGGUGAUCGGCCACACUGGAACUGAGACACGGUCCAGACUCCUACGGGAGGCAGCAGUAGGGAAUCUUCCGCAAUGGGCGAAAGCCUGACGGAGCAACGCCGCGUGAGUGAUGAAGGUCUUCGGAUCGUAAAACUCUGUUAUUAGGGAAGAACAAAUGUGUAAGUAACUGUGCACGUCUUGACGGUACCUAAGCAGAAAGCCACGGCUAACUACGU
rnacentral:rRNA from 1 species